CUCUUAACUUCAAACACCUAAUGUUCCUUUCUCUUUUUGUCCUAACCAAAAAAACAUGGCAUUCCUUAAACUCUUCACAUUCUCAAUCUCUCUCUUCCUAUUAAUCUCUCACUCACUUUCUCUCUCUUCUUCUUCUUCCGUUCAUGACCUUCUUCGUUCAAAAGGGUUACCACCUGGACUAUUACCAGAAGAGGUAAACUCAUAUACUUUCUCAGAAGAUGGACACUUAGAAGUGUUCUUAGAUGCACCUUGUUUGACCAAGUACGAGAAUAGGGUGUUCUUUGAACGUGUGGUAACUGCUAACCUAACCUAUGGUAGCCUCAUAGGUGUGGAGGGUCUUCAACAAGAAGAGCUUUUUGUAUGGCUACCUGUUAAGGAUAUCAUAGUUAAUGAUCCUUCAUCAGGGUUGAUUCUCUUUGACAUUGGCCUUGCUUAUAAACAUCUUUCUCUCUCUCUCUUUGAAGAUCCACCUCAUUGCAAGCCACAAGAAGAGAUUCAAGGAGCAAUAAGGAACUCUACGGUUGGAAGAUCACAUACCCAGUAACCUUCAACCAUUAUCAAUGGCAAACUCAGAUAUAAAGAACAACAGGUGUGCCCUUACCGGAAAGAAGAAGUAUGUUGGGAAAAGGAGUUGGUUGAGAGAAUGAGUAAUGGAGAAGAGGAGGAGAAAGGGGAUAAAAUAGAGAUAACGUUGGGGAAUCGAUUUAUAAGAUAU
rnacentral:lncRNA from 1 species